UUGCUGAAUGUCUAUGGAGGGACGAAUGAAGCUGUCCUCCCGACCACCACAUGUAGGCUAGCCUACUUGCACACAUAUGCACACAAAGUGCAUAAAUGAAGUGCAUGUGUAACGGAGUAAAAAGAGUUGCUAGUUAAAUUAUAUUAAAAUUGAUGCAAUUACGCCAUCUAGAGGCAGGUUGAUUUAGUGUGACAGUGGGAUUCGCGUUGCAUUUACCCAGACUGGAGAUUACGAGAUACUGGGUAAGUCACGCAAUUUGGGAGGUCUGGGAUAAACAAUGUUUUCUUGUAAUUCUAAGUACAUAUGUCUCGUAUUUUGUCAUGUAAUGUACUUAUAAUGAUUUCAGUUAACUAUUUUGAGUUCAGUUGAUGAUUUAUGUGUCUUGUAAAGUCAUGUUUAAGAGACUUGCAACGAAGCAUAUUUUCAUGUGAACUAGCGUGCUAAUUGUCACUUGCUUUACAUGUUAUUUAGAUUGUUGUCCCGAGAUCUAUUUGCUGAACCCACAAUUCCACACUGUCAUACUUUGUUCCAGGCCUACGUGCAAUUCUGCAUCCCCCUCGGAAGGGCAACGUGAGUCGAGAAGGGGGAGUGGUGGACACCGAAACCGAAACACCACUAACCACUCGGGAAAGAAGCUGUCCGUGGCCCUGAGUGGUUUCCUGUUUGUCCGGGCUGCGAUGCAUCUGAAGCGCCGUGGAAACCGCUUACCAUUUCCAUUUCCACUGGUAAGAUCUAUAAACAAUCUGUAGCAGAUCAACCUAAUCAUUCAUCCGAGUGGUCAAAUAAUCAGGGAGGUCUGCCAAUUAGAAAUAAUUGUAUUUGUUCCAUUUCAUUCAAUAACUCUUUGGUUCA